GAUGAAGAACGCAGCGAAAUGCGAUAAGUAAUGUGAAUUGCAGAAUUCAGUGAAUCAUCGAGUCUUUGAACGCACAUUGCGCCCCCUGGUAUUCCGGGGGGCAUGCCUGUCCGAGCGUCAUUGCCGCCCUCAAGCACGGCUUGUGUGUUGGGCCCCCGCCCCCCGGCUUCGGGGGGCGGGCCCGAAAGGCAGCGGCGGCACCGCGUCCGGUCCUCGAGCGUAUGGGGCUUCGUCACCCGCUCUGUAGGCCCGGCCGGCGCCCGCCGGCGACCCCAAUCAAUCUUUCCAGGUUGACCUCGGAUCAGGUAGGGAUACCCGCUGAACUUAAGCGUAUCAAUAAGCGGAGGA
rnacentral:misc_RNA from 1 species